AAGUGUUACAGCUCUUUAAGAAUUUGUCUAGCAGGUUUUCCAGUCCUCAUUGGAAGACCCUC
rnacentral:snRNA from 1 species